CAGGGUUGAAAGUGCUAUUCAGGAGAGUUAAAAUAUGCUUUUGCAGUAGGGAAUGAAAUUUUCACUUUCUAAGUUUCGUGGAUUAAAAUGUUCUGACUUUGCUUAUUUUAAUCAUUUUUGUGCAGGUAUAUUUGUGAUUGAUUGUAUUGGAUAUCAAACGCAUGCCUAUUACUGCUGAUGGCCUUGACUGUAUGUUACGUUUACACCUUUGCGGCUUGAUGUUGGCAUUCUGGCUUUUGGAGGGAUUUCCCUCAUACAGUGCAUGAUGGUUCAACCUUAUUCAUUCUCAAAUCAUAUGGGCAUCUUCAGGCAGCUACAGGGUAGUGCUACAUGGCCAUGUAUAAAGGUGUACUGUUUGAGUUUUGCACAUGGAAGAACUGCUUCAUGCUAGUGUUUAGUAAUUGCCAUGUAUUUACAGCUUUGAUGGGGUGAAGAAAGGAAUUGGUAUCUUCUGCUCGGCUGCUCAUAAUAAAUGUGCUGAUGCUGUCUUUUUGAAUUAAAAUAAACAUCUUUGGUUUCAAGCCUGGUUUGCUGAAACUAAUGGAGAGUUUUGGGUAAGGUGAGUGAUCUUACUGCCUAAUUGCUUGGUUAAGCUACUUGCUAUAAUCUUUAUACUGACCAUGAAAUAACAUUAUUGUUUGACUUCCACUACAUCAGUUGCUCAAAACAUUUCUUUGGUGGACCCUGCUCUCAAUGAACUCCAUGAAUUUUUUUGGCUA
rnacentral:lncRNA from 1 species